rnacentral:rRNA from 1 species
AACACAUGCAAGUCGAACGGAAAGGCCCUGCUUUUGUGGGGUGCUCGAGUGGCGAACGGGUGAUUAACACGUGAGUAACCUGCCCUUGACUUUGGGAUAACUUCAGGAAACUGGGGCUAAUACCGGAUAGGAGCUCCUGCUGCAUGGUGGGGGUUGGAAAGUUUCGGCGGUUGGGGAUGGACUCGCGGCUUAUCAGCUUGUUGGUGGGGUAGUGGCUUACCAAGGCUUUGACGGGUAGCCGGCCUGAGAGGGUGACCGGCCACAUUGGGACUGAGAUACGGCCCAGACUCCUACGGGAGGCAGCAGUGGGGAAUAUUGCACAAUGGGCGGAAGCCUGAUGCAGCAACGCCGCGUGCGGGAUGACGGCCUUCGGGUUGUAAACCGCUUUCGCCUGUGACGAAGCGUGAGUGACGGUAAUGGGUAAAGAAGCACCGGCUAACUACGUGCCAGCAGCCGCGGUGAUACGUAGGGUGCGAGCGUUGUCCGGAUUUAUUGGGCGUAAAGGGCUCGUAGGUGGUUGAUCGCGUCGGAAGUGUAAUCUUGGGGCUUAACCCUGAGCGUGCUUUCGAUACGGGUUGACUUGAGGAAGGUAGGGGAGAAUGGAAUUCCUGGUGGAGCGGUGGAAUGCGCAGAUAUCAGGAGGAACACCAGUGGCGAAGGCGGUUCUCUGGGCCUUUCCUGACGCUGAGGAGCGAAAGCGUGGGGAGCGAACAGGCUUAGAUACCCUGGUAGUCCACGCUGUAAACGGUGGGUACUAGGUGUGGGGUCCAUUCCACGGGUUCCGUGCCGUAGCUAACGCUUUAAGUACCCCGCCUGGGGAGUACGGCCGCAAGGCUAAAACUCAAAGGAAUUGACGGGGCCCCGCACAAGCGGCGGAGCAUGCGGAUUAAUUCGAUGCAACGCGUAGAACCUUACCUGGGUUUGACAUGGAUCGGGAGUGCUCAGAGAUGGGUGUGCCUCUUUUGGGGUCGGUUCACAGGUGGUGCAUGGCUGUCGUCAGCUCGUGUCGUGAGAUGUUGGGUUAAGUCCCGCAACGAGCGCAACCCUUGUUCACUGUUGCCAGCACGUUAUGGUGGGGACUCAGUGGAGACCGCCGGGGUCAACUCGGAGGAAGGUGGGGAUGACGUCAAGUCAUCAUGCCCCUUAUGUCCAGGGCUUCACGCAUGCUACAAUGGCUGGUACAGAGAGUGGCGAGCCUGUGAGGGUGAGCGAAUCUCGGAAAGCCGGUCUCAGUUCGGAUUGGGGUCUGCAACUCGACCUCAUGAAGUCGGAGUCGCUAGUAAUCGCAGAUCAGCAACGCUGCGGUGAAUACGUUCCCGGGGCU